GAGUAAUAAACAAAGGGGGUUGAGGUUGUAGCUGGCCGCUCCGGUGGCACGUGCGUGCCUCUCCUCCGAAAACCAAACCAUACACCUGUGCACCUUCGCGUGGGUCGGGAGGGGUAACACCCGAUCGGCCCACGUCUCUUUACAACAAACGCAUGUCUUCAGAAUGUCACACAUUGAUGUCUUAAAACAACAUCCAAUA
rnacentral:misc_RNA from 1 species